rnacentral:lncRNA from 1 species
GCUUACGAUGAUUUCGAUUUUGGCUGCGCGCAAAACAGCAAAGGCCAGUUCGGCGCGGCCGCCGGUUUGCUCGGACUGGGCCGGACCAGCAUCUCCUUCGUCGAACAAACCUCCCAGAAAUACAAACGAGUAUUCUCCUACUGUCUACCUUCCACUUCAAGCUCCACCGGCUACCUCAAAUUCGGCCCCGACGGAGGCUCCGGUAACGCAGUCAAGUUCACGCCGCUCAAAACUUUAUCCCAAAGCGCUACAUUUUACGCCCUUGACCUAGUUGGCAUCACCAUCGGUAGCCGUCAACUGAAGAUUUCAGCCUCUGUCUUUUCAAAGUCGGGGACAGUCAUCGACUCGGGGACAGUGAUCACGCGCCUCCCGGCCACCCCAUAUGCCGCAUUACGCGUGGCUUUUAGAAAAGCGAUGGAGAAGUACCCUUUUGCGAAGUCGAAGUCUGCCCUACUAGACACUUGCUAUGACUUUAGUGGACUUAAAACGGUGUCGUACCCGAAGAUAGGGUUUGUAUUUGGAGGUGGGGUUACGGUGGACUUGGACGCGACAGGGAUACUGUUCCAGACGAGUGGUUCGCAGUUUUGCUUGGCGUUCGCCGGAAACAAGGACGAUAAUAGCGUCGGGAUUAUCGGCAACGUUCAGCAGAAGAGGCUGCAAGUGGUGUACGACGUUGCUGGGGGAAGGAUCGGAUUUGGCUCUGCAGGUUGCCCCUGAUUGAUUAGCUACUUAAAUCAUUGCUGAUGAAGAUUUCUAACCGGUGGUACUGCUAAAUAUGCAGCUACCGAAAAAAUAAAGUUGUCGGUACGUAAUGAUCUCGUUGUUUUUGUGGUUCCGGUAAUGUCAAAGUGUUAGUUAUCUGUUAUUUAUCCUCCUUAUGAAUGUUUGUUAUCCUUUUUAAGAAAGCAGUAUUUUAAUAGAUUUGAAGUUCACUGAAAGUUUUCGGAAAAAAAAUUAGAGACUUUGUCUUUGAUUUAAACCGUUAGAACAUCAAAUAUUUCAUUCAGGUCCAAUACAGAACUUAGCAUAAGUGAUUACA